rnacentral:rRNA from 1 species
GUCGAGGGGCAGCAUGGGGGAGUAGCAAUACUCUCUGAUGGCGACCGGCGCAAGGGUGCGUAACGCGUGAGCAACUUGCCCUCAUCAGGGGAAUAAUCGCUGGAAACGGCGUCUAAUGCCCCAUGGUGAUGUCCUCAGGCAUCUGAGGUCAUCUAAAGAUCCGUCGGAUGGGGAUAGGCUCGCGUGACAUUAGCUAGACGGCGGGGUAACGGCCCACCGUGGCGACGAUGUCUAGGGGUUCUGAGAGGAAGGUCCCCCACACUGGAACUGAGACACGGUCCAGACUCCUACGGGAGGCAGCAGUGAGGAAUAUUGGUCAAUGGCCGGAAGGCUGAACCAGCCAUGCCGCGUGAAGGUCAAUGCCCUAUGGGCGUUAAACUUCUUUUGUGCGGGAGCAAUAAUGGUCACGUGUGGCCAGACCAGAGUACCGUACGAAUAAGCAUCGGCUAACUCCGUGCCAGCAGCCGCGGUAAUACGGGGGAUGCAAGCGUUAUCCGGAUUUAUUGGGUUUAAAGGGU